CGAGCACGCGCGUGUGGCAUAUCAAUAAGCGGAGGAAAAGAAACUAACAAGGAUUCCCUUAGUAACGGCGAGUGAAGCGGGAAGAGCUCAAAUUUGAAAUCUUCAAGGUUCUACCUUGACGAAUUGUAGUUUAUAGAAGUGUUUUCUGUUAGUAGAGUGGCAAAAGUUCUUUGGAAUAGGACAUCAUAGAGGGUGAGAAUCCCGUAUUUGGUCAUUCUUUCUAGCUUUGUGAUACACUUUCAACGAGUCGGAUUGUUUGGGAAUGCAGUCCAAAAUGGGUGUAAAUUUCAUCUAAAGCUAAAUAUUGGCGAGAGACCGAUAGCGAACAAGUACCGUGAGGGAAAGAUGAAAAGAACUUUGAAAAGAGAGUUAAACAGUACGUGAAAUUGUCAAAAGGGAAGCGUUUGACACCAGUGUUGUUUUUCCGAAAAUCAAUUACGAAUGUUUUGUUUUUGGGAAGUUAUGACUUCAUCGGCUUGCUUCUUUCUUUACGAAACUUUCUUAAUGCACUUUUCGGUUAACAAGUCAACAUCAAUUUCUUUUGUUGUAAAAGGGUACGAGGAAGGUGGCUUUCUUUUCGGAGAAAGUGUUUAUAGCCUUGUGCCUCUGCAAUCGGAGAGAUUGAGGUCUGCAGCGUAGACUCUUCGGGGUUAGAUACAUUUGUGCUAAGUUAUAGCUUUUCAUAGACAACUUGUUGACUAUGUUUAGUCUUGUAGCUUACUCGCUUAUGCUAUUUUACCUACGCUUAGGAUGUUGAACUCUAUCACACACAG
rnacentral:rRNA from 1 species